UAUUUCUAAAUAUUCCUUUAAAUUUAUUCUUCUUAUGUCAUCAUUGUAGACCAUUUUUAUGUGACAUUUUAGGUAAAAGUAUGGCAAAUAUAGAAGUUUAAAAGCAGCUGUCACACACAUUUUCACUAAGUGCAGUUUGCAGCUUGAUAAAAGAAGUCCUUUGUGGAGAUAUUAAUAAGCUUGAAUGUAGUAUCGGAAGUUUAUAAUGCAUGGCUAGGGAACUGAGGCUAAGGGAGUUAUGUGCUGUGCAUGAUGAGAACUCAAUGCUCAUUAAUGCUGUUAAUGUUUAUAAAUAAAUUAAUUAAACCAAUAGCAUUGUUUUUUAGGUUUCACUGUACAUUUUCAUACCAAUAGAAUUACACAUCAUUCUAAUUAUAGCAAUAAUAAAUUUGUACUAAUCAUACCUACAAAUUUUGUUAUGCUAUGCUUUGUGAUGUAUUAACUUCAUUGUAAGUUAUUAUUUAAAGACAAUUUUACUAAAUAUUUAAAACAAUACUUGAAUUAUUUUCUAUAUACAUUUUCAUUAUGUGCUUUAACUGUAGCUGACCAGUUGAUGGAAGAUACUGCAGAGUUUGGCAGGGAAAUAACCCAAGACAGCAAAGCGGCUCUUUUGGCGCAUUUACCAAGAGGACUAACAUGGCCACAAAUUCAUGAGAUCAUGCAGGAGCCGUACAGUAUAACAGCAGUACAAGUUCUAUAAAAGAUCCACGACCUACUGAAGCCUAGCUAAUUAACAAAAAAGUUUUUAAAAACUGUAAUUUUAUCCCACCUGGGUACUUAUAAUUUACUAAGCUUCCUUCACAAGUUUUAGACUUGCAAUUAUAUUUUAAACUGUCACUUGGAAAGUAAUACAUUAACAUGCAUUAUGUUCUGAAUUUCUUUGAACAAUAAAAUUAUAUAAAAGUAUUUUAAUGAAAUUUAGCACCUAAAUUGCAUUAAAGUGAAAGUAGCUGAGAAAAAUAGUAUCCUUGUGCUCAUGGGCAGCUACAUAUAUUGUGACAAACAUGAAGUAGCUAAAAUAACUUUAAUUUUUCAUUUUGUUUCUUGUAUAUCGUUUGUACAGGGUUCGUGAAUUGUUACUGUAUAUUACUUGACUUGCUUGUAUUUUGUUACUUUGAAUACAUGUUGUUAAGGUUGCAUUAUACUUUUUAACUUUUAAAGUAGCGCCUGUUCUGUUAUGUAAGGGCCUGAUUUAUGAUAAUGGACCUAGAGGCUUUGUAAGCAUGUAUUAAACAACACUUGUUUGAUCUGAAUAAUUUGUUAAAUAAAUGUAACACAAUUUGUAAUCUGAUGUUAUAUUUUGAUGAAUUGUGAACAAAAUAAUACAUCGAAGAAACUAA